rnacentral:rRNA from 1 species
AUACGGAGGAUCCGAGCGUUAUCCGGAUUUAUUGGGUUUAAAGGGUGCGCAGGCGGCCAUUUAAGUCCGCGGUUAAAUCGUGGGGCUCAACCCCAUUCUGCCGUUGAUACUGGGUGGCUUGAUUGCGGUCGAGGUUGGCGGAAUUCGUUGUGUAGCGGUGAAAUGCAUAGAUAUGACGAAGAACACCGAUUGCGUAGGCAGCUGACCAGACCGCAAAUGACGCUCAUGCACGAAAGUGCGGGGAUCGAACAGGAUUAGAUACCCUGGUAGUCCGCACAGUAAACGAUGAAUACUUGUUUUCGUCGAUAUAAUGUCGGAGGCAAAGCGAAAGCGAUAAGUAUUCCACCUGGGGAGUACGCCGGCAACGGUGAAACUCAAAUGAAUUGACGGGG